rnacentral:rRNA from 1 species
CCACGGAGAGUUUGAUUCUGGCUCAGAACGAACGCUGGCGGCGUGGAUAAGACAUGCAAGUGGAACGCUGGUCGUCGGGUAGCAAUAUCCGGCGGCCGGAGUCGCGAACGGGUGAGUAACACGUGGGUAAUCUGCCGCGAAGACCGGUAUAACCCGCCGAAAGGUGGGCUAAUUCCGGAUGUGGUCCCGUGGGGGCAUCCCUGCGGGAUUAAAGGGUGGGGACCGCAAGGCCUGCCGCUUCGCGAGGAGCCCGCGGCCUAUCAGCUAGUUGGUAGGGUAACGGCCUACCAAGGCUAAGACGGGUAGCUGGUCUGAGAGGACGACCAGCCACACUGGGACUGAGACACGGCCCAGACACCUACGGGUGGCAGCAGUCGAGAAUCUUUCACAAUGGGCGAAAGCCUGAUGGAGCGACGCCGCGUGGGGGAUGAAGGGCUUCGGCUCGUAAACCCCUGUCAGCCGCGAACAAACCCGCCGACCUAACACGUCGGUGGCUGAUAGUAGCGGCAGAGGAAGGGACGGCUAACUCUGUGCCAGCAGCCGCGGUAAUACAGAGGUCCCGAGCGUUGUUCGGAUUCACUGGGCGUAAAGGGUGCGUAGGCGGUCGGGUAAGUCUGACGUGAAAUCCCGAGGCUCAACCUCGGAAUGGCGUCGGAAACUGCCCGGCUCGAGGGUUGGAGGGGGGACUGGAAUUCUCGGUGUAGCAGUGAAAUGCGUAGAUAUCGAGAGGAACACCGGUGGCGAAGGCGAGUCCCUGGACAACUCCUGACGCUGAGGCACGAAAGCUGGGGGAGCAAACAGGAUUAGAUACCCUGGUAGUCCCAGCCCUAAACGGUGCACGUUUGCCGUGGGCGGAUUCGACCCCGUCCGUGGCGUAGCUAACGCGUUAAACGUGCCGCCUGGGGAGUACGGCCGCAAGGUUGAAACUCAAAGAAAUUGACGGGGGCCUGCACAAGCGGUGGAGUAUGUGGCUUAAUUCGAUGCAACGCGAAGAACCUUACCUGGCCUUGACAUGCACGUGGUAGGAGCCCGAAAGGGUGACGACCCCGCAAGGGGAGCGUGCACAGGUGCUGCAUGGCUGUCGUCAGCUCGUGUCGUGAGAUGUUGGGUUAAGUCCCGCAACGAGCGCAACCCCUGCGUCCUGUUGCCACCCGGUCGCAAGACCGGAGCACUCUGGACGGACUGCCUCGCUUCAACGAGGAGGAAGGUGGGGAUGACGUCAAGUCAGUAUGGCCCUUAUGGCCAG